UACAGAGGGGGCAAGCGUUGUUCGGAAUUACUGGGCGUAAAGGGCGCGUAGGCGGCCCGCUAAGUCGAACGUGAAAUCCCUGGGCUCAACCCAGGAACUGCGUCCGAUACUGGUGGGCUUGAAUCCGGGAGAGGGAUGCGGAAUUCCAGGUGUAGCGGUGAAAUGCGUAGAUAUCUGGAGGAACACCGGUGGCGAAGGCGGCAUCCUGGACCGGUAUUGACGCUGAGGCGCGAAAGCCAGGGGAGCAAACGGG
rnacentral:rRNA from 1 species